UAGUAGAAGCAGACAAAUCCGGAAGUUGAAGGAUAAACAUGGCAGCAAGCAUAAGUGUCAAACAGGGACUGGCGCGCGGUAAACAUGCCCUCUUCUUCCCCGUCCAAAGAACAACAUCUCCCGGCAGCGAGUUUCGGAGCGUGAGGGCCGCAGCCAGCGCCACAGCGCUACAAAACGAGAAGUUCUGCUUGGAGCUCGUCAGGUCCAGGGACUACGAGGGCUUUGUGUGCUCCCUCCUGCUGCCAGAGGGGGCGCGUCGCUCCGCCCUGGCUUUGAGAGCCUUCAAUGUGGAACUAGCACAGGUGAAGGACUCUGUCUCACAGAAGACGCUGGGUUUAAUGCGAAUGCAGUUCUGGAAGACGGCGGUAGAAGAAAUUUACCGAGACAAACCUCCGAACCAGCCAGUCAGUAACGAGCUAUGGAGGGUGGUGAGGAAGCAUAGGCUGACAAAGAGAUGGCUGUCGAGGAUUAUAACAGAGAGAGAAAAUGAUCUGGACGACAGAGCCUACAGAAACCUGCAGGAGCUGGAGUCGUACGCUGAGAACACACAGUCGUCGCUCUUGUACCUGCUCCUGGAGUCUUUGGGAGUGAAAGACGUCCACGCCGACCAUGCGGCGAGUCACAUCGGGAAGGCGCAUGGCAUUGUGACGUGUCUGAGAGCGACGCCUCAUCACAGCGCACGGCGGAGAGUUUUCUUGCCCAUGGACAUCUGCAUGCUGCAUGGCGCUUCCCAAGAGGACAUCAUCCGUGGUAGCCGCGAGCAGAACGUCCGGGAUGUGGUGUACGACAUCGCCAGUCAGGCUCACGUUCAUCUGCAACAUGCGCGAUCAUUUGGCCCCAGCAUCCCGGCAGCUGCGACUCCGGCCUUCCUCCACACGGUAGUGUUGGAGGACUACCUGCAAAGGGUGAGAAAGGUGGAUUUUGACAUCUUCCACCCAAGCCUGCAGAAAAGGAACCCCCUUCUUCCCAUCCAGCUGUAUCUGCGCUCCUGGAAGAAGACCUACUGACCCUUUUCUAGAACAACCUGCAGUGCACGUAGACUUAAAGAAAUGGUGGACAUUUAGGUUGCUGCACACAUUAAAGGACCCAAGCUUCCUCAGGAAAAAGAGUCUGCUCAUACCCUUCUUGGAAACUGCUUUGCUGUUGUCAUUCCAGUCCAGUCCAGUAUUAUGCAAAAGCAAAAUUUUGCAAAAUUUUGUUACCUUCUGGUACCUCCUGAUCUGUAUUUGGGAUUUGCAUAAAUCCUGAAAAAUUGAGCGCAUUCGCCUUUAUAGUCCGUGUUGACACCGUAGUCGAUAAGCUUCUUCUUUUUCUCUAUGUUCUUGUUAUGGAAAAUUCAUCCUCCACUGUUGCCAUUUCUAAUAUAAAAUAAUGUAAAGUUGUUACUUAUAUCUGUCCGUAAACUCGCCAUGAAUGCGCUAAAACAUACUGGUGUUGUGAGUUUGCAUUAUUCACCCAAGGAACCUUAGUUAUUUGAGCGUUCCGGUCGCACGGUUUUUCACAGGACACAUUUCCGGUGUUGUUUCCAGAUGAGGAGAUGCUGCUCAGUUAUUUGUUGAAGUAAAGUCUGAAUGUCAUUAAAACAGUAAGCUCCAUCUUUUGACACUUCUUCCACUCCCGUCCUUGCACGCUACACCGCUAAAACAAAGAUGACGGGGAGAAGACGUUGUGGAAGGUGAGCCACGUAAAUAAGACCGCCCACUAAAUGGCGCACCCUGAAGCGACUGUCAGAAAGCGGCUUAAAGAUGAUCUGUAAAACAUCAUCUAUGUAACAUUUUGACCAAAGAGCCACCAUUACAUGGUAUGUAGACCACAAGGAAGUGUUUUCCAUUAAAAAAAUAAAAUAAUAAUAUGACUCCUUUAAUGUGUCCUAUUAUCCGAAGCCUAACAUAUGAAAAAAGACCAUUCAUCGGCAUUGCACCUUGUAAUCCUGUGCGCCCUAUGGUCCGGAAAAUACGGUAAUUGCGACUAAUCACAUUUUGUCCAGUUAAACAUUAUUCACAAAUAUAUUUUUUUAAUCUUUAAUAAGUGUACCUUAUUAAAAUGUACAACCAACAUGGAACUGGACAAUUCAUAUAACUUAGGGCUGUUAAACGAUAAAAAGAUUUAAAGGCCUACUGAAAUGAGAUGUUCUUAUUUAAACGGGAAUAGUAGGUCCAUUCUAUGUGUCAUACUUGAUCAUUUCGCGAUAUUGCCAUAUUUUUGCUGAAAGAAUUUAGUAGAGAACAUCGACAAUAAAGUUUGCAAAUUUUGGUCGCUAAUAGAAAAGCCCUGCCUUUACCGGAAGUAUGUGUGCGUGACGUCACGAGUUGCAGGGCUCCACACAUAUUCACAUUGUUUUUAAUGGGAGCCACCAGCAAUAAGAGCAAUUCGGACCGAGAAAGCGACAAUUUCCCCAUUAAUUUGAGCGAGGAUGAAAGAUUUGUGAAUUAGGAUAUAAAUAGUGAAGGACAAGAAGAAAAAAAAAGCGGGGCAGUGUGAGCGUUUCAGAUGUAAUUAGCACAUUUACUUGGAUAAUUCUGGAAGAUCCCUUAUCUGCUUAUUGUUUUAAUAGUGUUUUAGUGAGAUUUUAAAGAUUGUAAAGACAUACCUCGAGGUCGGAUGGCUGCGGUGAACACGCAGUGUCUCAGAGAGAAGGCGAGGAGCCAAGCUCACAGCUGUUGCGGGACUACGAAUAAUCCAAUGAUUUCUCCGGUAAGAUAUAUAUCACAAUUUCCCCAUCCAAAAACAUGCUUGUUGACGUAGAGAAAACAUGUUCGCUUGACCGCUCUGUGUUAAAGCUUCACAACAAAGAAAGAAACACAGGCUGUCUCGGUGCUAAAGACACCUGCAAUCCACCGCUUUCCACCAACAGCAUUCUUCUUUAUAGUCUCCAUUAUUAAAUGAACAAAUUGCAAAAGAUUCAGCAACACAGAUGUUUGUGUAAUUACGCCAUGAACAGAGAUGACUUUUAGCCGUGUUUGGUGCAGUGCUAAUAUUUCCUUACAGUCCGUGAAGUCACGCGUACGCGUCAUCAGUCCGCGACGUUUUCAACAAGAAACUCGCGGGAAAUUUAAAAUUGCAAUUUAGUAAACUAAAAAGGCCGUAUUGGCAUGUGUUGCAAUGUUAAUAUUUCAUCAUUGAUAUAUAAACUAUCAGACUGCGUGGUCUGUAGUAGUGGGUUUCAGUAGGCCUUUAAUUGUGAUUGUGUAAUUUAAGACUCGACCAGAAGAAAAUAAUUUGCACAAUAUUUCAGCCAGCCAGAAAAAUCCCCACCCCAUAUUCCUAAACUGAUGUUCUAGCAUUUCUUUUGGUGAAAAUAUCACAGAAUGACAAAAAAAAAAAACUUCUCUGAGAAAGCAUGAUUGUAUUGUAAGACAUUUUUAUUUUGUUCACGUCAGGGUUUCCCCAAAAUUGCCAAAAUACUUGUGGGGGGGGGGGUUAGUGUGGUCGAUAUGACGACAUCGCAUGAUUUGCUAUAGAAUAGAAUAGAAAGUACUUUAUUGAUCUCUUGGGGAAAUUCAGUACCACAGUUCGCUCACAAUAAACAACAAACACUUGGGUAUUUUUUUUUUCAUGUGAAUAAUAUAAAUACAGUCUAUCAUACGACAUUAUUCACAUGUGAAUGAUAUACUUACAGUCUGUUAUAUAGCAUGAUUCAAAUGUGAAUAAUAUAAAUACAGUCCAUUAUACAGCUUUUUCACAUGUGAAUAACAUCAACACAGUCUAUUAUAGAGCUGAUUCACAUGUGAAUAAUAUAAAUACAGUCUAUUAAAUAAACACAUUGAAUAGACACAUUAAAUAUACAUAAGACUGUAUUUAUAUUAUUCACAUGUGAAUAAUGCUGUUUAAUAGACUGUAUUUAUAUUAUUCACAUGUGAAUAAUGCUGUUUAAUAGACUAUUUAUAUUAUUCACAUUUGAAUAAUGCUGUUUAAUAGACUGUAUUUAUAUUAUUCACAUGUGAAUAAUGCUGUAUAAUAGACUGUAUUUACACUGUUCACAUGUGAAUAAUGUUGUAUAAUAGACUAUUAUACAUUCAUAUAUUAUGUAUGUGAAUAAUGUUGUAUGAUAGACUCUAUUAUACAGCAUUAUUCACAUGUGAAUAAUAUAAAUACAGUCUAUUUGUCAUGCCUGUUAAUCUGGGUUUAUGUUUGAUCAUGUUAUGUUUUUGGACUCGUUUCCCGUGUUUGCACUUCCUGGUUUUGUUUGUUUCCAUAGUUACUCAAUAGUUUCCACCUGGUCUACAAGUCAUGCCCCUGUCCUCAGCCUCACACCUGUUAGUAAUCAUCUUCACAGUCAUUAUUUAUACCAUUCUGUUUCUGUCCUCGGCCUGGGAACUUUGUGCUUACUACUUGCUACAUGCCUGUGUACUUGCUUUACCUACCUGAAUUUGUAUCGAACCCUGAUGACCACACACUUGCCUUGCCACGCUGAUUAUUGAUUUGACCACAGCACGUAAGAUCAUGUUUAUAUUUAUGCCUCUAUGCAAAUUUUUUUGGGGGGGGUUUGUUUUGUACCAUUGAUAGUAUCUUUUGUUUAUUUGUAUAUACUCAUGCCAUUGUGCUGGUUUGUUUGGAGUUUAGUAUAGAUUAUCUGCCACUGAGCGCGCCCUUUGUUUUCCCUUUUUGUAUUAUAGUGUGUAAAUAAAUUAAUCAUGUACUCACAUUCUCGCCUAGCUCGUUAUCAAAUUCCCUCUGCUUCGAAGAAGCAAAACUAAUCCAAGUCAUAUUCCUGACACUAUUAUACAGCAUUAUUCACAUGUGAAUAAUAUAAACACAGAAUUGUAAAAUAAGUCUUUUAAAUACUGCCGUUUCAUCUAAAUUUGCUUUAGCAAUGAAAAAGUAGGUACUUUUAAGUCCCAGUCUCACGGUGCCGUGUGCCAUACCUUGUCAGCAGCAACGUUGACAACACUUGCAGACGUUUUGUCAUUUCACCCCUAUGUGCCAAAGUAAACUUAUCAUCCAUGCCCGUGGCAAAUGAGACCCGCUUGGAGGCUUUAAGUAGCUUUCAAAGACUUUAAUGGCUCCUUGAGAAAUGCUCACCUGAUUGAGUCCGAGGGGUAUUCAGGGGUCAAGGCAGCGGUGUCGCGCACGUCAGUGUAAUUGCUGAGAAAAGCUGGAGUCGCCCUUGACGCUGCGGCUUCUGGCUUCGCGCCCUUGUUUUGACUCGCCACCUUGCAGACCACGACGGCCUCGCCGGUUCAUCAGUUCAUUCGGGUUUUUCUUCCUCAUCACGUCGCUGGGCAGGAACAAGAGGUCACAACAUGGAACACCUCAAGUAUGAUGGUGGGAGGCAGCUAGGUCAGUACGAGCUUUUAUAACGCCACAUUUUCCUCACUUUUCCCGUCCUCAAGCUUGCGAGGUGUCUAAAGUUUUUCCACUAAGGGGCGGACACUGAAAAGUUAAGCCAUACGGGGGAUAUUUUGGGAACCUGAAAGGGUGGCAGUCAUAAUUAUAAAAAAAAAAAAAAUUGUCUAAGUUAUAAUUGUUUUUUAAAAAUAAAUUAUAUGUAUGUAUUUUAGGGGUAUGAAAAAAAAAAUAUUUGAAUUAAUACGUAAUCAAUUAUUUGAAAGAAAUAUAUAUAUAUUUUUUUUUAAAUCUGUUCCGUCCAUCCACUGAGAAGUCAUAUUGUUGAUGUAGAUGAUCAUAUCUGCUGUACAUAUUUACUUUAUUAAAUACAAGUUUUGGAUA